CAGUAGCCACGGUAAUACGUAGGUGGCAAGCGUUGUCCGGAAUUAUUGGGCGUAAAGGGCUCGCAGGCGGUUUCUUAAGACUGAUGUGAAAGCCCCCGGCUCAACCGGGGAGGGUCAUUGGAAACUGGGAAACUUGAGUGCAGAAGAGGAGAGUGGAAUUCCACGUGUAGCGGUGAAAUGCGUAGAGAUGUGGAGGAACACCAGUGGCGAGGGCGACUCUCUGGUCUGUAACUGACGCUGAGGAGCGAAAGCGUGGGGAGCGAACAGGAUUAGAUACCCCUGUAGUCCCUGUCUCUUAUAC
rnacentral:rRNA from 1 species